UAGGAAGUAGUAUAGAUGGAAGUACAUAGAGUUUUGAUCUCUAAUGGACAGGUUCAAGUCCUGUUUUUCUAA
rnacentral:tRNA from 1 species